rfam:Camelus ferus isolate Naran unplaced genomic scaffold scaffold62340, whole genome shotgun sequence.
UGAGGGGUAGCUCAAGUGGUAGAGCGCAUGCUUAGCAUGCAUGAGGUCCUGGGUUCAAUCCCCAGUACCUCCU